UCCGGAGGGGGCGAUCGUUAUUCGGAAUCAUUGGGCGUAAAGGGCGCGUAGGCGGCCUAGCAAGUCAGGGGUGAAAUCCCUCGGCUCAACCGGGGAACUGCCUCUGAAACUGCUUGGCUAGAGACCGGGAGAGGGUAGUGGAAUUCCCAGUGUAGCGGUGAAAUGCGUAGAUAUUGGGAGGAACACCAGUGGCGAAGGCGGCUACCUGGACCGGUUCUGACGCUGAGGCGCGAAAGUGUGGGGAGAAAACAGG
rnacentral:rRNA from 1 species